rnacentral:rRNA from 1 species
GACGAACGCUGGCGGCGUGCUUAACACAUGCAAGUCGAACGAUGAAGCCCAGCUUGCUGGGUGGAAGAGUGGCGAACGGGUGAGUAACACGUGAGUAACCUGCCCCUGACUCUGGGAUAAGCGCUAGAAAUGGCGUCUAAUACUGGAUAUGACCUAUCACCGCAUGGUGUGUAGGUGGAACGAUUUAUCGGUUGGGGAUGGACUCGCGGCCUAUCAGCUUGUUGGUGAGGUAAUGGCUCACCAAGGCGACGACGGGUAGCCGGCCUGAGAGGGUGACCGGCCACACUGGGACUGAGACACGGCCCAGACUCCUACGGGAGGCAGCAGUGGGGAAUAUUGCACAAUGGGCGCAAGCCUGAUGCAGCAACGCCGCGUGAGGGAUGACGGCCUUCGGGGUGUAAACCUCUUUUAGUAGGGAAGAAGCGCAAGUGACGGUACCUGCAGAAAAAGCACCGGCUAACUACGUGCCAGCCGCCGCAGUAA